UACGUAGGGGGCUAGCGUUGUCCGGAAUCAUUGGGCGUAAAGCGCGUGUAGGCGGUCCGGUAAGUCCGCUGUGAAAGUCGGGGGCUCAACCCUCGAAUGCCGGUGGAUACUGUCGGGCUAGAGUGCGGAAGAGGCGAGUGGAAUUCCUGGGUGAUAGCGGUGGAAAUACGGCAGAUAUCAGGAGGAACACCAAUUGCGAAGGCAGCUCGCUGGGACGUUACUGACGCUGAGACGCGAAAGCGUGGGGGAGCAAACAGG
rnacentral:rRNA from 1 species